rnacentral:rRNA from 1 species
UACGUAGGGUCCGAGCGUUGUCCGGAAUUACUGGGCGUAAAGAGCUCGUAGGCGGUUUGUCGCGUCUGCCGUGAAAGUCCGGGGCUCAACUCCGGAUCUGCGGUGGGUACGGGCAGGCUAGAGGCUGGUAGGGGCAAGCGGAAUUCCUGGUGUAGCGGUGAAAUGCGCAGAUAUCAGGAGGAACACCGGUGGCGAAGGCGGCUUGCUGGGCCAGUUCUGACGCUGAGGAGCGAAAGCGUGGGGAGCGAACAGG